UGGGGAAUAUUGGGCGAUGGGCGAAAGCCUGACCCAGCAACGCCGCGUGAGGGAAGAAGGUUUUCGGAUUGUAAACCUCUGUCCUUGGGGACGAAGAAAGUGACGGUACCCAAGGAGGAAGCCCCGGCUAACUACGUGCCAGCAGCCGCGGUAAUACGUAGGGGGCGAGCGUUGUCCGGAAUUACUGGGCGUAAAGGGUGCGUAGGCGGUUUCCUAAGUCAGAUGUGAAAUCCCCGGGCUUAACUCGGGUGGUGCAUUUGAAACUGGGAGGCUAGAGUGCAGGAGAGGGAAGCGGAAUUCCUAGUGUAGCGGUGAAAUGCGUAGAUAUUAGGAGGAACACCAGUGGCGAAGGCGGCUUUCUGGACUGUAACUGACGCUGAGGCACGAAAGCGUGGGGAG
rnacentral:rRNA from 1 species